GACGAACCGUGCGAACGUUGUUCGGAUUCACUGGGCUUAAAGGGCGCGUAGGCGGUCGACCAAGUCUGGGGUGAAAUCUUUCGGCUCAACCGGAAAAGUGCCCCCGAUACUGGCCGGCUAGAGGGAGAUAGGGGCAUGCGGAACUUCCGGUGGAGCGGUGAAAUGCGCAGAUAUCAGGAGGAACACCGGUGGCGAAGGCGGGUCUCUGGGCAACAACUGACGCUGAGGAGCGAAAGCGUGGGGAGCGAACAGG
rnacentral:rRNA from 1 species